GAUGAACGCUGGCGGCGUGCCUAAUACAUGCAAGUCGAGCGAACAGAUGAGGAGCUUGCUCCUCUGACGUUAGCGGCGGACGGGUGAGUAACACGUGGAUAACCUACCUAUAAGACUGGGAUAACUUCGGGAAACCGGAGCUAAUACCGGAUAAUAUAUUGAACCGCAUGGUUCAAUAGUGAAAGACGGUUUUGCUGUCACUUAUAGAUGGAUCCGCGCCGCAUUAGCUAGUUGGUAAGGUAACGGCUUACCAAGGCAACGAUGCGUAGCCGACCUGAGAGGGUGAUCGGCCACACUGGAACUGAGACACGGUCCAGACUCCUACGGGAGGCAGCAGUAGGGAAUCUUCCGCAAUGGGCGAAAGCCUGACGGAGCAACGCCGCGUGAGUGAUGAAGGUCUUCGGAUCGUAAAACUCUGUUAUUAGUGAAGAACAAAUGUGUAAGUAACUAUGCACGUCUUGACGGUACCGAAUCAGAAAACCACGGCUAACUACGU
rnacentral:rRNA from 1 species